rnacentral:rRNA from 1 species
AUUGAACGCUGGCGGCAGGCCUAACACAUGCAAGUCGAACGAGUGGCGGACGGGUGAGUAAUGUCUGGGAAACUGCCCGAGGGAGAGGGAUAACUACUGGAAAAGGUAGCUAAUACAGCAUACCAUCGGAUGUGCCCAGAUGGGAUUAGCGUGUAGGUGAGGUAACGGCUAACCCAGGCGACGAUCCCUAGCUGGUCUGAGAGGAUGACCAGCCACACUGGAAAGGAGACACGGUCCAGACUCCUACGGGAGGCAGCAGUGGGUAAUAUUGCACAAUGGGCGCAAGCCUGAUGCAGCCAUGCCGCGUGUAUGAAGAAGGCCUUCGGGUUGUAAAGUACUUUCAGCGGGGAGGCGUUACCCGCAGAAGAAGCACCGGCUAACUCCGUGCCAGCAGCCGCGGUAAUUC